CUCCUACGGGAGGCAGCAGUGGGGAAUAUUGCACAAUGGGCGCAAGCCUGAUGCAGCCAUGCCGCGUGUAUGAAGAAGGCCUUCGGGUUGUAAAGUACUUUCAGCAGUGAGGAAGGUGGGUAUGUUAAUAGCAUAUUCAUUUGACGUUAGCUGCAGAAGAAGCACCGGCUAACUCCGUGCCAGCAGCCGCGGUAAUACGGAGGGUGCGAGCGUUAAUCGGAAUUACUGGGCGUAAAGCGCAUGCAGGUGGUUUGUUAAGUCAGAUGUGAAAGCCCGGGGCUCAACCUCGGAAUUGCAUUUGAAACUGGCAAACUAGAGUACUGUAGAGGGGGUAGAAUUUCAGGUGUAGCGGUGAAAUGCGUAGAGAUCUGAAGGAAUACCGGUGGCGAAGGCGGCCCCCUGGACAGAUACUGACACUCAGAUGCGAAAGCGUGGGGAGCAAACAGGAUUAGAUACCCUGGUAG
rnacentral:rRNA from 1 species